GGCUGUCUGAGUUUUUUGGUAUAGAGAGUCUGACCUGCCCGGUGCCUAAGGGUAAACGGCCGCAGCUAAAACUGUGAUAAUGUAGCGCAAUAAAUUGUCCUUUAAUUGGGGGAGAGUAUGAAUGGUUGGACGUGAUCAAGUCUGUGUCAGGAAUAGGACGUGAAAUUUCCUUCUUGGUGAAAAGGCCAAGAUUUUCGUAAUAGACGAGAAGACCCCGUCGAGCUUGGUUAGGUGGCUUAGAUUAAUUACUAUGAAGAGCGGCCACAGGUCGAAUACCAUUAGUCAGUGUGUUUUUAUAUCGUUUAUUUGGUACCGGUAAGUGGUAGAAAGCAUGGUUAGAAGUUAUAUCGUAGUGUUGAUGUUUGUUUUACGUGUUUAUACUUUGAGUUGGGUGUGUAAAAUAAAGUGUCUUACUACGUUGAAUAUAAGAUGGUUUUGGUUUUUCAAGUCGUUGAUGUUUUGCUGGGGCAGCACAAAGUGAGAAAGAAUACUUUGGGUCACGGUAUGUGGAUCCUGUUUGAUGGAAAAACAGCAAAAGUUACCGCGGGGAUAACAGCGUAAUCCUUUCUGAUAGGCCUUAUUGACGAAAGGGGUUGCGACCUCGAUGUUGAAUCAGGGUUUCUACAAGCUGCAGCAGGUUUGUAAGUGGGUCUGUUCGCCCUUUAAUGCCCUACG
rnacentral:rRNA from 1 species